UUAAUGAAGAGUUUGAUCCUGGCUCAGAACGAACGCUGGUGGCGUGUUUGAUGCAUGCAAGUCGAGCGAGUCGGGCAGCAAUGUCCAGGCGAGCGGCGAA
rnacentral:rRNA from 1 species